rnacentral:rRNA from 1 species
UUCAAGAGUACGUGAAACCGCAUAGAGUCAAACUGGUGGAUCCGCAGAGUCCGCGCGGGGAAUUCAGCUCGGCAGGCGGGGCCGUGCGCCGGCCGAGAUUCGUCUCGGACCUGGCUGGCGCGCUGCGUACUCGCAGGCAGGGUGCACUUUCCCCGGCUAGCGGAAGGCCACGACCGGUUCGGUGGCGGUCAGGAGCCCGGAGCGGGAGGUAGCCGUGAUCGGUUCACGCCGAUUGCGGAACGUACAGCCCUCCGAGGUGGACUCGCCGCUGGACCGAGGAUGCCGCGGUGGCCUCACGCCGCGGGCCGUCCGGGAGCGUUCGACUUUGGCCACGCUGCUCGCAGCCGGCCGAGACCGCGCUUCUGGUACGGGCUCGCGAACGGGGGCCGCCUAGGGUCAGUGGCGAAUCGGUCGGCAACCCACCAGACCCGUCUUGAAACACGGACCAAGGAGUCUAGCAUGUGCGCGAGUCACGGGGUCUCUCGAAACCCAAGGGCGCAAUGAAAGUGAAGGCCGCCUCCGGCUGGCCCAGGCAAGAUCCCGAGACGUUCGCGUCGAGGGCGCACUGCCGGCCCGUCUCGCUGGCAUCGACCACGAGGCGGAGCAAGAGCGCACACGCUGGGACCCGAAAGAUGGUGAACUAUGCCUGAGUAGGACGAAGUCA